rnacentral:lncRNA from 1 species
CGCCUGCGCCAGCUCUGCAGGACGGUGCCCAGCCUCCUGGGCUCCAGGCACAGGCUCCCUGUGAGCUCCCAGCCCUCAGGAUCUGGCUGCACCACCCUUAUAUGCAGCUCAGACCCGAACUCCCAGGCAUUUCUGGGCAAAACCCCAUUUCCUCGUGUGAAUUUGUCACCAGGCUGGGCUGGGCAGGCUCGCUGGCUCCCACCGCAGCAAAAGAAUCUUCAGGGACGCUGGGAAGGAGGCGCAGUGGGGUGUCAGGCAGACCGAGGCCCGGAGGAGAGGCCAGCACGCUGUCCUGGGUUCCUCCUGUCCGACCCCGGACUGAGCCUGGUGAGCAUUCCCGCCCCACGUUGACCACUUAGGGGCGCCUGGCACGCCCCACUUUGGAC